rnacentral:rRNA from 1 species
UACGGUGGGUGCAAGCGUUGUCCGGAUUUAUUGGGUUUAAAGGGUGCGUAGGCGGCGUAGUAAGUCCGUGGUGAAAGCCAACAGCUCAACUGUUGAACUGCCAUGGAUACUGCUAGGCUUGAGUACAGACGAGGUAGGCGGAAUGGAUAGUGUAGCGGUGAAAUGCAUAGAUACUAUCCAGAACACCGAUUGCGAAGGCAGCUUACUAGACUGUAACUGACGCUGAGGCACGAAAGCGUGGGGAGCGAACAGG